rnacentral:rRNA from 1 species
CCUACGGGUGGCAGCAGUGAGGAAUAUUGGUCAAUGGACGAGAGUCUGAACCAGCAAAGUAGCGUGAAGGAUGACUGCCCUAUGGGUUGUAAACUUCUUUUAUAAAGGAAUAAAACGUGGCACGUUUUCCUUUUUGCAUGUACUUUAUGAAUAAGGAUCGGCUAACUCUGUGCAAGCAGCCGCGCUAAUACGGAGGAUCCGAGCGUUAUCCGGAUUUAUUGUGGUUAAAGGGAUCGUAGAUGGGUUAUUAUGGCAGAUGUGAAAGUUUGCGGAGAAACAGUAAGAUUGCAAUUGAUACUGGCAAUCUUGAGUACAGUUGAGGUAGGCGGAAUUCGUGGGGUAGCGGUGAAAUGCUUAGAUAUUACGAAGAACCCCGAUUGCGAAGGCAGGUUACUAAACUGUGACUGACAUUGAUGCUCGAAAGUGUGGGUAUCAAACAGGAUUAGAUACCCGGGUAGUC